GUGAGGAAUAUUGGUCAAUGGGCGCAAGCCUGAACCAGCCAUGCCGCGUGCAGGAAGACGGUCCUAUGGAUUGUAAACUGCUUUUAUUUGGGAAUAAACUCCGGUACGUGUACCGGCCUGAAGGUACCAAAUGAAUAAGCACCGGCUAACUCCGUGCCAGCAGCCGCGGUAAUACGGAGGGUGCAAGCGUUAUCCGGAAUCAUUGGGUUUAAAGGGUCCGCAGGCGGUCUUAUAAGUCAGUGGUGAAAGCCUACAGCUCAACUGUAGAACUGCCAUUGAUACUGUAGGACUUGAAUUCGAUCGAAGUGGGCGGAAUGUGACAUGUAGCGGUGAAAUGCUUAGAUAUGUCACAGAACACCGAUAGCGAAGGCAGCUCACUAGGUCUGAAUUGACGCUCAGGGACGAAAGCGUGGGGAGCAAACAGGAUUAGAUACCCGGGUAGUCC
rnacentral:rRNA from 1 species